CUGCUGCCUUCCGUAGGAGUUUGGACCGUGUCUCAGUUCCAAUGUGGGGGACCUUCCUCUCAGAACCCCUAUCCAUCGAUGCCUUGGUGGGCCGUUACCCCGCCAACAAGCUAAUGGAACGCAUCCCCAUCGAUGACCGAAAUUCUUUAAUAGUUCUACCAUGCGGAAGAACUAUGCCAUCGGGUAUUAAUCUUUCUCUCGAAAGGCUAUCCCCGAGUCAUCGGCAGGUUGGAUACGUGUUACUCACCCGUGCGCCGGUCG
rnacentral:rRNA from 1 species